rnacentral:tRNA from 1 species
GAGGGUAGAGCUCAGUGGUAGAGCACAUGCCUAGCAUGUACAAGGUCCUGGGUUCAAUCCCUAGUACCUCUG